CCAGCUCUCUUCGUCAAUUUUGGCUUAGAUCAAGUGUAGUAUCUGUUCUUUUCAGUUUAAUCUCUGAAAGUUGGCCACGGUCAACAUCAAGAUUAUACUUAUUUUUGUUCGCGAGGGGGAGGCCUCCAGGCUUGCCUGUGUCUGCUCCUACUGUGUUCUUGGUCUUACACUGCCUCCAAGCAACGCGACCUUUU
rfam:Glarea lozoyensis 74030 unplaced genomic scaffold M7I_scaffold10, whole genome shotgun sequence.